rnacentral:rRNA from 1 species
AGUGAACGCUGGCGGUAGGCCUAACACAUGCAAGUCGAACGGCAGCACAGUAAGAGCUUGCUCUUACGGGUGGCGAGGGGCGGACGGGUGAGGAAUACAUCGGAAUCUACUUUUUCGUGGGGAACAACGUGGGAAAACAGCCGAUAAUACCUAAUAUAUCCAACGGCAUGAAUCAGGGGUUAUAGGCACUUUUGGCGUCUCAUAUAGAUGGUUCCGCGUCGCCUUAGCUAGUUGGUAAGGUAAAGGCUCACCAAGGCGACGAUCCGUAGCUGGUCUGAGAGGGUGAUCAGCCACACUGGAACUGAGACACGGUCCAGACUCCUACGGGAGGCAGCAGUGGGGAAUAUUGGGCAAUGGGCGCAAGCCUGAUCCAGCCAUGCCGCGUGGGUGAAGAAGGCCUUCGGGUUGUAAAGCCCUUUUGUUGGGAAAGAAAAGCAGCAGAUUAAUCCCCCGCUGUUCUGACGGUACCCAAAGAAUAAGCACCGGCUAACUUCGUG